rnacentral:misc_RNA from 1 species
UUCGAGCGUCAUUUCAACCCUCACGCGUAGCGUGGUCUUGGGCUCUGCCGGCAACGGCUUGCCUUAAAAUCAGUGGCGGUGCAUCGGGCUCUACGCGUAGUAAUUAAACCCUCGCGUGUGAGUUUCGGCGGUCGCUUGCCAGCAACCCCCAAUUUUUUAUGGUUGACCUCGAAUCAGGUAGGGAUACCCGCUGAACUUAA